AGGCAGCAGUGGGGAAUAUUGGGCAAUGGAGSAAACUCUGACCCAGCGACGCCGCGUGAGGGAUGAAGGCCUUCGGGUUGUAAACCUCUUUCAGUAGGGAAGAAGCGAAAGUGACGGUUACCUACAGAAGAAGCACCGGCUAACUAUGUGCCACCAGCCGUCGGCUUAAUAU
rnacentral:rRNA from 1 species